UGAGGACAUGGCUAGCCAAUUUGACUUCCCUU
rnacentral:piRNA from 1 species